UACAGAGGUGGCAAGCGUUGUCCGGAUUUACUGGGUGUAAAGGGUGCGUAGGCGGGCGAUCAAGUCCGGGGUGAAAUCCUCCAGCUCAACUGGAGAACUGCCUUGGAUACUGGUCGUCUCGAGUGAGGUAGGGGCAUGCGGAACUGGUGGUGGAGCGGUGAAAUGCGUUGAUAUCAUCAGGAACUCCGGUGGCGAAGGCGGCAUGCUGGACCUCAACUGACGCUGAGGAGCGAAAGCUAGGGGAGCAAACGGG
rnacentral:rRNA from 1 species